CCUGAACCCACAAGGUCAACUUGGACCUUCAGACCUAGGAACUGACAUGCCCAAGACCAUAUGGAAAGUCAUCUCCUGGGCUGGGGUAUGGCAUCAUGCAACGUCAUGCAAUGCUGGAGGCAAUAGCUCUGGGAUCAAAACCCACUCUGCUGCUUCCUAGAUAUCCGCUGUGUGACUUGGCUCCUUCUGAAAGGCCCUCCCCCCUCCCUCUAAAGCAGCCACCUGGUGCCGACGGAGGUGGACACAGGCCCCUC
rnacentral:lncRNA from 1 species